UUUUGCAUAUCUCAAAAAGCGGAGGAAAAGAAACCAACAGGGAUUGCCUCAGUAACGGCGAGUGAAGCGGCAACAGCUCAAAUUUGAAAUCUGGCCUCUUUGGGGUCCGAGUUGUAAUUUGUAGAGGAUGUUUCGGGCACCGCUCCGGUUUAAAUUUCUUGGAACAGAAUGUCAAAGAGGGUGAGAACCCCGUCUUGGACCGGCAGUAGGGCCCAUGUGAAACUCCUUCGACGAGUCGAGUUGUUUGGGAAUGCAGCUCAAAAUGGGUGGUAAAUUUCAUCUAAAGCUAAAUAUUGGCCAGAGACCGAUAGCGCACAAGUAGAGUGAUCGAAAGAUGAAAAGCACUUUGAAAAGAGAGUUAAACAGUACGUGAAAUUGUUGAAAGGGAAGCGCUUGCAACCAGACUUGCGCGCGGCGGUUCCCCCUUCCUUUUGGUUGGGUUAUUCCGCCGUGUCCAGGCCAACAUCGGUUCUGGGGGUCGGUUAAAGGCCUGGGGAAUGUAUCUACCCUUCGGGCGUAGACUUAUAGCCCCGGGUGUCAUGCGACCUCCCGGGACCGAGGAACGCGCUUCGGCUCGGAUGUUGGCGUAAUGGUUGUCAGCGACCCGUCUUGAACCACCGGACCAAAAA
rnacentral:rRNA from 1 species